rnacentral:rRNA from 1 species
AUGGAGGCUGCCAUAUCCGUAGUCACGGGUGAACUAGUGAGUCGUUUCAUCUCCUUCCUCAAAAACAAGUACAACUCCUCCUUGAGCCAUGCACAAUCAGAGAAGAUGGAGGAGAGAUUGCAGCACCUCCUGAUGAGAGUCAGCAUAGUCAUCGAGGAGGCAGAUGUGCGGUACAUAACCAACUCUGGGAUGUUGUUGCAGCUCAAGAUGCUCUCAGAGGCCAUGUACAAAGGAUACCGCGUGCUGGACACCCUGAGGUUCCAAAACCACCAAGAGAGUGCAUGCUUUGACGAGGUUAGAAUCAACGACUCAUCUAGCAACAACUUGUAUUUAUCCAUUCCAUUCAAGCGUUCUCAGACAAAAACUGAGAUGGAUGACAAGGCCAUUCGCCUCGAGUCAGAUGGUGCCUUGGAAAGCUUAGAAAUUGUUGUUGCUAACAUGACAGAAUUUGUUGUGUUUCUGGGUGGAUGUGAGCGCAUGUCUCGUAGGCCAUAUGACGUUUAUCUUUACACCAACAACUUCAUGUUCAGCCGACAUGCUGAAAAGCAAAAGCUCUUGAGCUUCUUGUUGGAGCACACCGAUCUUCAUGCACCUGCAGUUCUUCCAAUCAUAGGUGGUGUUGGAGUUGGGAAGAAAACAUUGGUUGCUCAUGUGUGUGCAGACGAAAGGGUUCGCCCACAAUUCUCCUCUAUUAUGCACUUGAAUGGAGACAACCUCUUGAUGGUACUUGACAAUGGAUGGACCAUGUUUGGGAUGAUCUUGGUAGUUAUAGAGUUUGCUUCCGAUAUAGGCGACGAUGACUGGAAAAAGUUUCACUUGUUUCUCGUAAGAAUGAACAGAGGAAGCAAGAUCAUCAUCAUAAGUAAACUUAAAAGAUUAGCCCGGUUUGGAUCGGUGCAGCCUAUUUUCUUAAGUGUUUUGUUUAUGACGAGUUUAGGUAUCUUUUUAAGACCCUAG